UCCGUCAUGGCACAGUGGCUCAAGCGUGUGAUUGUAAACCUUACAGGUCGUGAGUUCGAUUCACUUUUGGAGGAA
rnacentral:tRNA from 1 species